UCAAAAAAUACGACCCUGCCCCCGCGGAAGAGAUCCCAGUUGGAUUCCGACCUACGGAAGCCCAGAAGGACCAGGCUUACCAGUGCCGCCAAAUGCGUGCCAGGCGAGGAUGCGCGGCUAAGUGGCGCUGCCUGUUUCCCUCGGCUCUUUACUGACCGAGCCUCCUCUGACUCCCUGUCCCCAGAGCAUCUUAGCACCCCGGCUUCUUCCCUGCUUUUCCUCUUCAGGAGUCGUCCAGCUAGACUUGAAAGGGCCGAAGGAAGCCCCGGGAGGAGGAAAGGCCAGCCGCCAGGUCCCAGUGCCCGCUGCCCAGCCUCUAUCCUCGCCCCUGCCUUGGAUGGGCUUGGGCAAGAGAUAAACCUCUCUGGGCCUGUAUCCUCUUCGGCACCACGGGAGAUAACCCACCUAUACCUUGGAUCUGUUGUGGGGUUUAAGUGGGGAGCGCGCGUGUGUGGUUCAUGUUAGCCCCCUCCCGACUCGUGAGAAAUUGCCUCUGCCAGGAACGUGGGAGCCGAAUUUGUCCUUGGCCGGAGAACUGCCGCUUCCCAUCACGUACAUCAACCAAGAAAGACUGUGUCACGAAUUCACAAGCUUUUUCCAGCAGGAGACCCGUUUAUUACUCUCCUACCCGGCUCUAUGCAUCAUGUGUUGAGAAAUUUUGUGCUUAACUAUUGCAGUAUGAUUACUGAGCACCUGCUAUUUGCUGGGAACUGUUAGACAUUAUGCUUGGCAAUAGAUAAAGACGAGUAAGAGAUCACGUUGCCCUUGAGGCACUCCUGGACCGAAGAUGACCACAGAGAACUACUACAGUGUAGUGCAGUGUUUAUAAAUGUGCAGAAGCUUUUUUGUUAAUUCAGUCAGCGUUUUCUGAGCAGCCAUAUCCACUAAAGUGCUGGGGACAGAGGGUUAGAAGCCUUGUCAACAGGAAGUGAAUUCUUCCUAUCAAAUACAGUCUUCUGUUGAUUGUCUCCUUGCAAGAAGAAGCCUAUUGGAAUUCCACUGAAGAAUUUUACAGGAUUGAAGAAACUAGGAUUUCAACCAAGUCUGAGUGAGGCUAGCUCCGGGAGCACCCACGUGACUCGGCUUUGAGGACACUGUGUGUCUGUGGCAGAGGGUAAGAGCUGGCUCGCGCCCUCUGCCCAUUGCCACUCGCAUGCCAGCUUCGGACCCUCAGCAUCUGUGUCACUUUGGAGUUUUCUCUGGUCACACUGUCCUGCAGCAGUGAGAGAUGGAAUUGUCAGAUAAGGGACAUCAGUGUGAGUCUGGAGCCCUGCUGCCCAGCACCAGAGCAGCCCCCGGCGAACCUCUGAAGACACGCAGUGUGCUGUGUUCUGGGAUAGGGUGUUAGGGAGAAGAAUGGAGAAACUUCCUGCGGGGGCUAGUGGGUCAGGCGGCAGGGAGGUGCUCAGCUCAGCCACAAGAACAGGACAGGAAAAGGACUGUUCCUAAAGCUAGACGGAGAAGGAGGGGGUAAGGGCGGGGACUGGCCUAGAAUGAGAGGCCAGGUGGGCAGGACCUAUGAAGGUAUCCCCAAGCACUCCUGAAAUUUCUGGCUCUGGGGCCAAUUUGGGAGCUACGUUUGGGUCCAUCGUGUUCUGUGGAAGGACAAUCUCUCUCGUUUUAAUUGCUCACACUUAAGUUGAGAGCCACCAUCAGGCUUGCAAACCUAGAGAGUAGAGGUGUGACCUGGCUAACUGGCCUCCCAGAUGCCCAGAGUCCUCCAGGCUUUUAACACCGGUCUUGUCCUUGACAAGAUCUAAAUCAUUCAGUACCCAGAAUUUGGCCUGUUGAUGGUGUGCAUGUCAUCAAAUAAAACAAGCUCAUUUCUAAGAAAAGGCAGGUGGAAACAAGAAGGGGGUCCUGACCCAAGGAAUAUUUGAUCAGGAGGAAAAAAAACUACGAUAUCAAGGAGACAGCAGAGUUCAUAUCCUAAUCCUGCUACUCCUGACGUGACCUGAGGCAAGUCACUUAAGCUCUCACAUCUCAUCCACAGAAUGGGCGUUUUACAGCCCCCUCCUGGACUAGGUGAAAGAUUUGUGAGAUGGACAGAUGCAGACGUAAAGGGCUUAGCACUCCACAUGAGGAACCCGGUGUCAUUGGGGAAGUGAAGUCUAGGCAGUGGGGAGAGCAGCCCGGGAGUGGCACAUGGUCAAUACCAGUGAAGCAGUGACAGGUCCCAGCAUUGCAGCCUCGAAGGGGUGAGCCUAGUGGCCUUCCCAUAGGAAGAGGUCAGGCUGUGGAGCAGCAGGAGAACAGAUGCUGAUGGAAACAGUAGCCGUCUUUGACCAGCACCUUACCUGGAAGGACUAAUCUUCACAGCAACCACAUGAGGUAGUCACCAGCAUGACUGGGAUCUGAUGAAGCAUUACGUUAGUCCUUUGAUAGAAGGAUUCAGUGAUCUUUUUGGGAGAUUCGUUGUAAUUGCUGAGUACAUACCUUAUUUAUUUAUCAGAGCCGAAAGGCCCCUCAUUGCCCGGGUCUUGGCCUGUCGCCUCCCAGCUUGUGAACUGGAGCGUAGACGUGAACCCAGGCAGGUUUGGCCUCAGAGCCUAAGCUCUGAGCUGCUAGGCUAAGCAGGCUCUGAUGACUCAGCAUUUCAGGACAUAAGUUACAGAAAAGUCAGAGAGCCCAGAGCUCAUUCUUGCCAAGUGCUGGCUCUGAGAUGCUGGGCCACUUCAUUCAUUCAGCUAGACACCAGGAAGACAGUAUAUGUGACCUGCUUGCCCUUUUCCCACCCAGACCUGUGGCAGGCAUGGCUAAUCAAUCCUGGCAUUUCUUAUCCUUCCUAAGCACUGGGGUAGGGCCUCCAAAUCCUGAAGGACACCAGAAAAUCACCAGUUGACUAGCAUUAACACAUCAGAUAAAAUCUAGUUGCUGUACCUCUCAUGAAGUCUUAAGGCAUGCCAGACAAUAGUACAGAAGUGCAAACCGGGGGUUGCUUUUAUGCCAGUAAGCGUCUGCCUGUCAUUUCCUUAAGACAUCCAACAUAGAACAAGUGCCCCAAAAAUCACAAAAGUCACACAGGGAAAUCGUCCUGCCAAGCUCAGAAAAAUGAAGGUAUUACCAGGUUGUACUAGAGGGUGAAUCCUUGCUUGAGGAGGGUCCCUUGGACUCUACCCCCUCCUUGGGCACCACCCCAAGGCCAUGGCCACAACUCCCGAGGAAACCUCACAUUAAAAAGACAAAACAAGGGGAAGAAAAUCCCAGCCUUCUGAGAUUGGUGGUGGAGAGCAGAGUCCCUGUUUGCAAGGCCACAUCACGAAUCACAGCACCAGGCUCUUGACAAGGCUGGAUGGAGGCCUGGUUUCAGGGACCAACACGGUCGGGCACAGAGAGCCCUCGAGGUCACUGCCUGUCAUCAGGACAAGGAUUUAGAACCACCAGCUCCCUUUAACCCUUGGUUCUCAAACUCAUUCAAAUACUACUCAACUCUUCAGCCACUGAGUAGAAUCACUCCCAGGCAGUAGAGUGCCAGGCGCUUUUGUGGAAUAUCAUGAAAUAUGGAUAAAUUAAAUGAAAACUGACCCAGUGCUAUAAAAGUUCACAGCCACUUCCAUUGUACCUGAGCUAGAAUCGCAUGCAUGGUGACAGAUGUGGUGAAAUUUUUUAGGCAGGGACUC